AUUGAACGCUGGCGGCAGGCCUAACACAUGCAAGUCGAACGGUAACAGGAAGCAGCUUGCUGCUUUGCUGACGAGUGGCGGACGGGUGAGUAAUGUCUGGGAAACUGCCUGAUGGAGGGGGAUAACUACUGGAAACGGUAGCUAAUACCGCAUAACGUCGCAAGACCAAAGAGGGGGACCUUCGGGCCUCUUGCCAUCGGAUGUGCCCAGAUGGGAUUAGCUAGUAGGUGGGGUAACGGCUCACCUAGGCGACGAUCCCUAGCUGGUCUGAGAGGAUGACCAGCCACACUGGAACUGAGACACGGUCCAGACUCCUACGGGAGGCAGCAGUGGGGAAUAUUGCACAAUGGGCGCAAGCCUGAUGCAGCCAUGCCGCGUGUAUGUAGAAGGCCUUCGGGUUGUAAAGUACUUUCAGCGGGGAGGAAGGCGACAGGGUUAAUAACCCUGUCGAUUGACGUUACCCGCAGAAGAAGCACCGGCUAACUCCGUGCCAGCCGCCGCAGUAA
rnacentral:rRNA from 1 species